GAUGAACGCUGGCGGCGUGCCUAAUACAUGCAAGUCGAGCGAACGGACGAGAAGCUUGCUUUUCUGAUGUUAGCGGCGGACGGGUGAGUAACACGUGGAUAACCUACCUAUAAGACUGGGAUAACUUCGGGAAACCGGAGCUAAUACCGGAUAAUAUUUUGAACCGCAUGGUUCAAAAGUGAAGGACGGUCUUGCUGUCACUUAUAGAUGGAUCCGCGCUGCAUUAGCUAGUUGGUAAGGUAACGGCUUACCAAGGCAACGAUGCAUAGCCGACCUGAGAGGGUGAUCGGCCACACUGGAACUGAGACACGGUCCAGACUCCUACGGGAGGCAGCAGUAGGGAAUCUUCCGCAAUGGGCGAAAGCCUGACGGAGCAACGCCGCGUGAGUGAUGAAGGUCUUCGGAUCGUAAAACUCUGUUAUUAGGGAAGAACAUAUGUGUAAGUAACUGUGCACAUCUUGACGGUACCUAAUCAGAAAGCCACGGCUAACUACGUGCCAGCAGCCGCGGUAAUACGUAGGUGGCAAGCGUUAUCCGGAAUUAUUGGGCGUAAAGCGCGCGUAGGCGGUUUUUUAAGUCUGAUGUGAAAGCCCACGGCUCAACCGUGGAGGGUCAUUGGAAACUGGAAAACUUGAGUGCAGAAGAGGAAAGUGGAAUUCCAUGUGUAGCGGUGAAAUGCGCAGAGAUGUGGAGGAACACCAGUGGCGAAGGCGACUUUCUGGUCUGUAACUGACGCUGAUGUGCGAAAGCGUGGGGAUCAAACAGGAUUAGAUACCCUGGUAGUCCACGCCGUAAACGAUGAGUGCUAAGUGUUAGGGGGUUUCCGCCCCUUAGUGCUGCAGCUAACGCAUUAAGCACUCCGCCUGGGGAGUACGACCGCAAGGUUGAGACUCAAAGGAAUUGACGGGGGCCCGCACAAGCGGUGGAGCAUGUGGUUUAAUUCGAAGCAACGCGAAGAACCUUACCAAAUCUUGACAUCCUUUGACAACUCUAGAGAUAGAGCCUUCCCCUUCGGGGGACAAAGUGACAGGUGGUGCAUGGUUGUCGUCAGCUCGUGUCGUGAGAUGUUGGGUUAAGUCCCGCAACGAGCGCAACCCUUAAGCUUAGUUGCCAUCAUUAAGUUGGGCACUCUAAGUUGACUGCCGGUGACAAACCGGAGGAAGGUGGGGAUGACGUCAAAUCAUCAUGCCCCUUAUGAUUUGGGCUACACACGUGCUACAAUGGACAAUACAAAGGGCAGCGAAACCGCGAGGUCAAGCAAAUCCCAUAAAGUUGUUCUCAGUUCGGAUUGUAGUCUGCAACUCGACUACAUGAAGCUGGAAUCGCUAGUAAUCGUAGAUCAGCAUGCUACGGUGAAUACGUUCCCGGGUCU
rnacentral:rRNA from 1 species